rnacentral:lncRNA from 1 species
GGUCAUAUAUAAAUUUAAAUUAAAAAAAAAAAAAAAAAUUUACUUUCUAAACGGCUAGUUAACGGCUAUGAACAGUGUUUUUAUCUAUAAAUAUACUCAUUUCUUACUCAUUUACUUCAUCCAAAACAUUUCAUCUUCUCUAAAAUAUUUUCAAAUCGCUCCAUUCCGGUUUUUCAUUACAAAAAAGAUGAUUCGCAUAUUUUUGGUUGUAUGUGCAAUUCUAAUUUUUGCUUCUAUGUACGGUCUUUUUAUUGGAGAAUUUGCUCCUGAAGAAUUUACGCUCAAUGUCG